CAUUAAAAGUGAGCUGUACUGUUUUUGCUUUAGCUGUGUGCCACCCAGGCUGGGAGGAGCCAGCAGUAUUGAGAAUCACAGUAGACCUGCAGCCAGAGAGUAAUUUAAAACACUGCAUCAUUGGGUUGUCAAGGUAACUGGCUAGGCUGCCUUUCUGGACUUCUGUAAACACAGGUCCUCUAGACAAGGACUGAACCACACCAAGGAGCCUGCAGAGAAAUGGCCUGUAGCCUUGAAUAUGACCACUAGCAACCUCUUUGCUCAGAAAGGUUACACUCAUGCUGGGAUAUUACUUCUGGGCUGGAUGAUGUGCUGAGACUCAGCAGUCCAACAACACUCACUGACCACUGUGAGAUGAGAAAGGCUGUCCAAGGACAUUCCAGAAGAACCUUUUCCUUCCUGUUGUCACCCUAUCAUCUAAAAGAGAUUGUGAAGCACAUAAAAGGCAAGCAUUCAUUCGCUGAGAGUUACAAGCUCCAGCUUCCCUGUUCAUUUUAGGAUGGGAUCCUGUGUUUGAAGUCUACCCAGUACUACAAACUGGGUGGUUUUAAACAACGGAAAUUUGUUUUUUCAUUGUUCUUCAUGCCAUAAGUGCUGGCAGGGCCGUGCUCCACCUGAAAUCUCUCGGUCAUCAAUUGAGGCUGCUUCUACCUUGACACUGAUAUUAAGUUAUGAGAAAAUAUAUCGAUGUUCUCCUUCAAUGAGAGAUGAGUGAUGUAUCUAACAGUCAUGAUGGACAAUGGGCCUGACGGCCUAGUGAAGCUCAUCAGAUGCACUUCAAACUGCAUUUGGCUUGCAGCCAGAUUUCCAAAUAGCCAGCCAACUACAAACUGAAACCUCUACAGACUGUGAGUUAAAUUAUACUAAACUUUCCUUCCUUUAAACAUGGGUGCCUGGUAUUUUGUCUCAGCAGAGAAAAAAAAAAUAAGUAAGAUG